rnacentral:lncRNA from 1 species
UUGCACGAAGCAAAACACACAGAAAUUCAAUUCUGUAAAACGGGGGAUGAAACUAGCCACGCGAUUGGUUAAAUUACGAAACAUUUGCCGCGAACCGUCGCAGAAAUCAAAUUUGUUGCUUCUGAUUGGCGUUUGCCUACGUCAUCAGUGCUUCAUGCAGUAGCUUUCGCAAUUUUGCGACAGGCAUGAGACAGACUCGGUGCAUUAUAAGUUCUUAAAAUUUCGUAGUGGUAGGACGUGUUUCUCGCGUCUGUUAAAUUCAACUUACCGAGCUAAUUUUUUCGCAGAAUUAGUUUUAAUUUUUUCUACGUCUGAAAGGUUGUGUCCUGAAAUAGACGCCAGGUCGCCAUUUUACUAUGGAUAUACCGAAAGUCCGCCAUAUUUUGAUUAUUUUCCGCAGAUGCAAGACCGCCAGAGAGCAAGGCGCGCUUAAUGGACUAUCCUGUGAGACAAUGUGCUGAAGGAGGAAUUUAUCACAAUGAACUGAUAAUCCAACAAAGUUGAAGGAAUUAGAGAUAAUUUUGAUGCUACUGGAAGAAUCGAUAAAUUUAACGUCUUCACCUUGCAACAUUAUGCAGUUAAUUUUUGCUGUAACAAUGAGGAGGCAAUCGGAAGUUAAUUUGGAAGCAACUGAAACAACAGUCUGAAGUUGUAUUUUGGUUUGCUCAUCACGCUGGUAGACUUUAAAACGUUACUUUCUACAAUUAAUUAAGAUUAUCCAACAAAUGAGAGAGGAUUAAACAUCAAUUUGGUCAUACUGAAACAGUGGAUGUCUGCAUGGGUGUUGCUUUUCGUGGACUGUAUUCUUCAUUGGCUGUUUUCGUCUUCGUCUUACAACAUUAUGCAGUUAAUUUUCAACCCAUGACUGAGAGCAACUGGAUAUUUAUUUGAAUUCCACUGAAAAAACAAAUUUUCUGCUGUGGUAUUCCUCCUGGAGUUGGUUUGCUUUUCACAUCUGCAAACUUUGGAACAUUACGGUCUACAGUUAAUUAAGAUCGACGUUGGAGAAGACAAAGAUGA